rnacentral:tRNA from 1 species
GGUGGAGUGGCCGAGUGGUUAGGCAGGGGUCUGCAAAACCCCAUACGACGGUUCGAAUCCGUCCUCACACCUCAA